rnacentral:tRNA from 1 species
GGAGAGGUGGCCGAGCGGCUGAAGGCACCGGUUUGCUAAACCGGCGUAGGGUUAUUAGCUCUACCGCGGGUUCGAAUCCCGCCCUCUCCG